CGUAAUCCGAAGAAACAACGAACGUGUAAUGUGUUGGGGAAUGAGCCUGCCGAACACACAAAACUAAAACAGUGACAAACUUGCUAUCGCUAGCUAGCUCCAGAUUUAUUGGAGGUCUCCUGUGAGAAGUAAAGACGAGACCUUGUGUUGGAAUGUGCUGCAAUCCGUCGUAUCUAAAUUCAAGCAGACAUUAAGCCGUGGAAAAGCAGAAAAGAAUAUCGAAAAAAAAAUACGCGCCGGAAAUAGUCAAAGAAUGAGUUGACUGAAAGGACAGUACAAAAAGAAAACGACAACCAUAUUGCCUACCGUAUAGUUGUACAAAACAGUAUCUAGACAGAAAUCCGGCAUUAACAAGACGACUAACGGAACUCCAGUAUCGGGAAAUGCGCUGAAGUCAUGCUAACGCACUCCAGAUCGACAUCCCCGAAGGCCGAUUGACCUUUUACUAUCAGUUUGGGACACCAAAUGUAGCAUGCAGUAUGCAGGAGCGAAGUUCGUGACUCUCAAAUAAAUCAAAUAGGACCCGCAGACCGUUCUUCACGUCAAGGCUGGCAUUUCAAGAUACUCAAUACAAGCUUGGCUUUCGCGGACUUCGGCGUUGAACUAAAGCAGACCCAAUUGUGCCGUAAGCCUCUUCCCAAGUGACUCCCUGUAGUAAUACCUCACGGUUCAAAUACAGUGUGAUUAAAUGUACAAGAAGUUGAGGUGAGGAGUUAACCUUACAUGAACAAAACGCUAAUAUAUACUUUUGAAUAGGAAACAGGAAGCUGUAAAACUUAGCGGCGGUUUCAUGGAAAUCACUACAACUUCGACCUGCCAUGCUUCUUUUUUUUACUAAAGAGCAUAUUUGGAGACUAAUUGGUAUUACGAUAUGCUAAAUUUACUAAAAAAAUAGGCUUAUUCCGCCAUUAACUCGUCGACUCCAUAUGAUCAAAGCUUCGUACCGUUGCUAAUUUUAGAGCUACAAUUUUGUGGGAAAUGUACAUUGUCUCGAGACCCGCCAAAAUUUGAAGCUAGGCCUCCGUCAGCUUGGCAGAUUUGGCAAACGCAAUCUGUAAUCAUAGCCUAAUAAAGUAACAGGGGCUGCCACUUUAGUCGGUUCAUCUUUCCUAGAGGCCAUAUUUUCCGCAGAAAAA